rnacentral:tRNA from 1 species
GCUCAGUUGGUUAAGUGUCAGACUCCUGAUUUCAGUUCAGGUCAUGAUCUCAUGGUUUAUGGGUUAGAGUCCCUCAUUGGGCU